rnacentral:rRNA from 1 species
GACGAACGCUGGCGGCGCGCUUAACACAUGCAAGUCGAACGGAAAGGCCUGCUUUCCCUUGUGGUUUGCGGGUACUCGAGUGGCGAACGGGUGAGUAACACGUGAGUGAUCUGCCCCCAACUUGGGUAUAAGCCUGGGAAACUGGGUCUAAUUCCCGAUAGGACUGCAGGGUGGUGCCUGUGGUGGAAAACGAUUUUCUAGUGGUUGGGGAUGAGCUCGCGGACUAUCAGCUUGUUGGUGGGGUAAUGGCCUACCAAGGCGGCGACGGGUAGCCGGCCUGGGAGGGGGGACGGGCAAAUUGGGACUGGGUUACGGCCCAGACGGCUACGGGAGGCAGCAGUGGGGAAUAUUGCACAAUGAGCGGAAGCCUGAUGCAGCGACGCCGCGUGGGGGAUGACGGGCUUCGGGUUGUAAACUCCUUUCGACCGCGAGGAAGCCACCUGGUUGGAAGGGUGGUGACGGUAGUGGUAGAAGAAGCACCGGCUAACUACGUG